UGAGCAAUCUGCCCUUCUCAUCGGAAUAAGCGUUGGAAACGACGUCUAAUGCCGAAUACGACCUCCUUUCGCAUGAUCGGAGGUGGAAAGCUCCGGCGGAGAAGGAUGAGCUCGCGGCCUAUCAGCUAGUUGGUGUGGGGUAAUGGCUCACCAAGGCGACGACGGAUAACCGGCCUGAGAGGGCGACCGGUCACACCGGGACUGAGACACGGCCCAGACUCCUACGGGAGCAG
rnacentral:rRNA from 1 species